AACAGUGGCCAACAUAACAUAAAAAGUUUCCGUAAAAUCAUCAGCAUUGUCGACAUUCAAAAUGAUGUCCAUGAUUUGCGGAAACAUGAAGUGAGGACCAGGAAACUGGCGGCCAACAUCCCGCCACCAUAAGGAUUUUUAAUGGAAACUGCAUGGCUCGCAUUUUUCAAACUUUCUUGUUUAGUCUUUAAUAUCACAAAAUACCAAAUGUAAACUAUAUUUUCAAUACUAUGUUACAUAUUUUAGUAAAAUAUAAUUUUACGUUUAUUU